ensembl:lncRNA
UGUAGCAGCAGUUUAAAAAGAGUACUGUAAACUAGCAGCAAUAUGGUAGUAGUAUUGAAUAUGUGGAAUCUGAGCAUUAACAAUUACAAUAUGAAUGUAAGUUUCAAGUGCCUAGAUAAUGAGAACAACAGAAACAUCUCUGUUUAGAUUAUCUAUCUGUAGAUUGCGCUCUGAUAACCAUAGGACCAUUUGUCAUGGGGGUAACUGUCUUGAAAACCUGAUCUUUGCUAGGUAGAAAAGCCCUUAAUGUAUAGGCUAGCUGGCAACUAUCUAUCAAGUGAGAAGACAAUAGAACGUUCAAAGAAUGACAUCUGUGCUGCAAUUUUCCAAUUAACUUGAGCAAACUUCUCCCUCGAUUUGAUACAGGUUCUACAUUAUUUGACCACUAUAUGUAACCACUGAUUUCUAACAAAUAUUAUAGAUAUGGCAAGUAUGGCAAUAAUAUAACAAUAUAAACCAGCAUACAUUUUUAGGAUGGGGAGUAUGAAGAGUAUGGUGGAGGUAUUGAUAUUAUUGAUACAUAUGAGUGUUAUAUAUGCUUAUGAAUGGUACAUGCAAAGGAAUAUUCUAAUGCUCAUUCAAGUACCUGAAAGGACAUCUAACAUAAAUUUUGCUUGCUAACCCUAAUUGGUUCCCAGGGGCUUAUAGGACUCUCUUGGGAGGGGCUGGUUUAAAUGAGGAAGCCUAAUCUUGGUUGGACCUUGUGUACAAACUGAAAAAUAUUAUAUUGCAUCUCCCAUUCAAUCAAAGGAAAAUGUAAAGUGUAUUACACAGUUCCUGUUAAACCACAACAUAUUUAAGGGUAAAACCUUCUUUUUAAUGAAAUACAGUUAGGUCCGGAAAUAUUUGACACAAACACACUAACACAAUUAUUUUUAUAAUUUUGGCUCUGUAUGCCACCAGAAUGGAUUUGAAAUGAAACAACUGAGGUGCAAUUGAAGUGCAGACUUUCAACUUUAAUUCAAGGGGUUGAACAAAAAUAUUGUAUGAAACGUUUGGGAAUUGCAAACAUUUUAAUACACAGUUCCCUUAUUUCAGGGGCUCAAAUUUAAUUGGACAAAUUAACACAGUCUUAAAUAAAACAUUCAUUUUAAUGCUUUGUCGAGAAUCCUUUGCAGGCAAUGUCUGUGAAGUCUGGAACGCAUUGGACAUCACCAAACUGCAGUUGUCUUCAGUUGUUCAUUGUUCGUGUUGUUCAUUGUACGCCCCAAGGCGUGGUUCAUUUUGGUUUUGUUUAUCCUGUGUAAGGAAUACCCACGUCACUGGUUGCUGCCUUUUGUUUUGUCGGAGUCCUUCUUUAUUUUGCAUUAAACAUGGAUUAUCUUCACCAACUCUACUCUGCGCCUGUGUCCUUCUCACCCCACGACCGUGACAUAAUGUUCCUGCUAUCACUCAGAUGGAAUUUUCUUUUGCAGCCUAAAGAUGGCCUGUUUCACUUGCACUGAGAGCUCCUUUGACCGCAUGUUGUGGGUUCACAGCAACAGCUUCCAAAUGCAAAUGCCACAACUGGAAUCAACUCUAGACCUUUUACCUGCUUAAUUGAUUAAAUAACAAAGGAAUAGCCCCCACCUGUCCUUGAAACAACUUUUGAGUCAACUGUACAAUUACUUUUGGUCCCUUGAAAAAGAGGGGGCUACAUAUUAAAGCUGAGACCUAAACCCUUCUUCCAAUUUAGAUAUGAAUACCUUCAAAUUAAAGCUUAGACACUUUAUGCCCAUAUUCAUUAUUUAACAGAAAUUUGAAUAUAUUUUGGUAAACAGCCAAAAUAAUAAAACUUAUGUCAUUUUCCGGACCUAACUGUAUAGGCAGUAUGUAUUUUUUAAGUAAAAAAAAAUACAAAGGAACAAAAUUGCCCAGGACAGUGUACUGGACCAUACAGCCUUAAUGUAUGUAGAUGAAAAUAUCUGUCUAUUUACAGAUCCCUGCUGAUUAUGUGAAUCUGAAGGAGCUUCUGGAAGCUAGUCAGGAGGAUUGUGAGGAACUGAAAGAAAGAUUCAUGGAAGUUCUCUCAAGCCUGGACUUAGAGAGAAGUGAAAAUGCCAAGAAGCGAUCACAGCACAAAACCAAAAUGCAGCGAGCUAAACAGAUAUUCUUUAAGGAGACAGGAUGGCGUGAUGAGAAAAUAAGAAACCUUGAAAGAGACCUAGCUCUCGCCUUAACUUCAUCCACCCGGGAAAAAGAGAUGAUCGGGAACAUGAACAAGGAAAAUGAGAAAUUGUUGGCGGAAAAGAGGGAUCUGCUUGGAAGGCUAAAUGAUUUGGAGGAUAAAACUUACAACAGCGUCAUUUCUGCUACAGCCUCACAAUUCAGUGUGGAUUUCUUGGAGAAAGAAAAUAAGCACUUACAAGAAACUAUAGUGGAGAUGUCCCGUCUGAUACCUAGCGGAAAAGCAUUGCAACACGCUCUGAAGAAUCUCAAAAUAUCACGCAGCACUGAUGUACAGGUACACAGGGGGGAAAUAUGUGGGUUGUUGUUUAAGGCCUUAGAUUUGAAUCUGGAUCUGAAUUUAGAUCCAUUCUGUGGAAUUAUUGAGAUUCAAAGGCUUGGACAAAAAGAAAACCUUUCUGAUGAUGUCAUGACUAUGACACACACCGAUGUAUAAAUAACCCUCUGAAGUCACUGAAAUGAUUUUAUGUGUGGAAAAGAUGCCUAAAAUUUCAGUCCGUUUGGCAAAAGUUUUACUGUGUCAAACUACAUGACCUCACAUUUUGUUAUGGUUAUAAAAUAUCAAUGACUGAUCUCGGUAAGGGUGUAGGCUCUAAACUAUCUUAUUAGCCAAUCAGUGCUGUGUGUCACAUUUGUUUCCUAACACCUACAGUGGGGAGAACAAGUAUUUGAUACACUGCCGAUUUUGCAGGUUUUCCCACUUACAAAGCAUGUAGAAAACUGUAAUUUUUAUCAUAGGUACUCUUCAACUGUGAGUGACGGAAUCUAAAACAAAAGUCCAGUAAAUCACAUUGUAUGAUUUAAGUAAUUAAUAAGAAUUUUAUUGCAUUUUAAUGUGUGUAUUUGUUGAACCCUCCUAGGUGUAGACACAAAAUUAUCUAAUUGUAAGUAAUCCCACUUCAUGUUAACCGAAAAACUAAACUUGUGUAAUGGAUGUGAUAGAAAUGGACAGGCAUUUUGGGGAUAAAAAAUUAUUGACAGAAAUCUAUGAAUUUUACAUUCUUAGGGUAAAAUAUGAAUAGCCACUUUCAAAGGAAGGCUUGGCUGCAUACAAAAAAACAAAUAUUAAAAUGUACUUUAGAGAGCAACGUUGAUCGUUAUAGAUGUGGAAUUCUACGUUAUGGAUGUCAUAUUGUGCAAAAGCAUGUGUUUCACGUAUAUAAUUUCCUUAUAAUACCUAUGUUAUCAUUAAACAAAUUGGUUCAUCUCUGAGAACCAAGAAAUGGCCUCAAAUAUGCUAAAUUGUGAAGUUCUGUUUUGUUCUGUAUUGUUUUUGCCGUUGUACCUGAAUGUAGGCCGUUCUGUAGCUUGUCCUGUCGUUGUUUUCACCUGUGUCUUUUCUCCUUAUUUAGCCUGCCCAGUUCUGUUCAGCCCUUGCUGAGUCAUAGAAUGUUUCAUGUAUGUGUCCCAGCCUGCCUGCCUGCCUUGUCUUUUUUUUUUUUUUUUGCCUUCCCUAGUGUUGUCUUUAAACCAUCAUCAUCCAUUAACUCUGCGCCUGGUGUCCUGUGUUUCAUGACAAAAAUAAAUGUAUUAAAAAUAAGUUAUUUACUGAAAAGGUUUUUUCAUCCUCAGGUUGACCAUACUGCCAAAUUGCCCCUAUGGUGCACACUUUAAGACUUUAGUGACAGAAAGUACCUCAUUAAAGUGACACAUUUCUGCUUUCUGAUUUGUUUUACAGGAAUUGAAGAAUUUUUUUUCUUUUGACAGCCCAGUUGUAAUGCCUUGCAUUCAGGAAACCAGGAAGUACUUUCUCUUUUGGUUCUCAUUUUGUUUAGAAAAGUGAUUUCUCAUCAAGUUAAAAUAAUCACUUUUGAUGCAAGCUUUGCUUUACUUUUCUGAAAAGUAAGACACUGCUCUUUUACUGUGGUCAACAGAUUUCAGCCUGGCUCAUUGGAUGUGAGAGGCCUUCUAGACAUCAUUCAGAGGAGCAGGUCCAGUCACUCAGAGGAUUCCAUGUCUCCGCUCUCUACACUAACCAGGCAUCCUGUGGAGAUGGGCUAUCUGAACGUGACCCCGUCCACAGGAAUCUGCGACAAAAAUCUGAACCUGACCUCUGCUCUUACCAGGGCUGACCAUCAGAUCCUCUCAGACACCAAUUCGGACGUUGAGGAGGUUUGAGGACAUUCAGGCAGAGACAAUCAACCGAAGAACCUUCAUACAAUCUAUCGAAGUGAUUGUGUAUAUAAAAGUGACCGUAAAGUUAAACAAGGAGCACUAAAUGUAACUAAAAUGUAACUUUGCACACCAGUUCACUUUGUAAUUUGCAUUAUAGGUGAAAAUGAGGUUGUUCAUUAUGUACUGGAAUUAAAGUGCGGACUAGAUAUGUGCAUGUUGAGCGUGGAUGUAAUUGAGAGAGACUGUGUAUCCAUGGUGAGUGCGUGAGUGAGCUAGUGUAUGUUUUUCAUAGUAGAGAAUGCAAAAGGGCACCAAAGGUUGGACUAUCUGACAGGCCAGAUAGUCCAACAGUCUUAUUUAUGAUGCCAGUGUACUGUAUCUGUUGAAGUUAGUAGCAACGAGAACUGUCCAUGGCUUGG